rnacentral:tRNA from 1 species
GGCCAAGUAGCUCAGAUGGUUAGAGUAUUGCUUAUAUGGCUUGCAUAUGUGAAAGUCAGAGUCUUGGGUUCAAUCCCCAAGUUGGCCA